rnacentral:rRNA from 1 species
GAUAAACGCUGGCGGCGUGCAUGAGACAUGCAAGUCGAACGAACGAGCUUGCUCGUUAGUGGUGGACGGCUGAGUAACGCGUAGGUGACCUGCCCCGAAGUGGGGGAUAACUGCCCGAAAGGGUGGCUAAUACCGCAUGUGGCGACGCUUUCAUUGGCGGCAUCAAAGCCGCGAGGCGCUUCGGGAGGGGCCUGCGUCCGAUUAGCUCGUUGGUGGGGUAAUGGCUCACCAAGGCGACGAUCGGUAGGUGGUCUGAGAGGACGAUCACCCAGACUGGGACUGAGACACGGCCCAGACUCCUACGGGAGGCAGCAGUCGGGAAUUUUGCUCAAUGGGCGCAAGCCUGAAGCAGCAACGCCGCGUGCGGGAUGAAGGCCUUCGGGUUGUAAACCGCUUUUACCAGGGACGAUAAUGACGGUACCUGAUGAAUAAGUCACGGCUAACUACGUGCCAGCAGCCGCAGUAACAC